GACGAACGCUGGCGGCGUGCCUAAUACAUGCAAGUCGAACGCAGUGGGGACGGGUGAGUAACACGUGGGUAACCUCCCAUCAGAAUGGAUAACACUUGGAAACUGGUGCUAAACCGAUACUGAUGGAUGGACCCGUGGUGCAUUAGCGAGUUGGUGAGGUAACGGCUCACCAAGGCAACGAUGCAUAGCGGGUCUGAGAGGGUGAUCGGCCACACUGGAACUGAGACACGGCCCAGACUCCUACGGGAGGCAGCAGUAGGGAAUUUUGGGCAAUGGACGAAAGUCUGACCGAGCAACGCCGCGUGAGUGAAGAAGGUUUUCGGAUCGUAAAACUCUGUUGUUAGAGAAGCGGUAUCUAACCAGAAAGCCACGGCUAACUACGUGCCAGCAGCCGCGGUAAUUC
rnacentral:rRNA from 1 species